AGUGAACGCUGGCGGUAGACCUAACACAUGCAAGUCGGACGGCAGCACAGUAAGAGCUUGCUCUUACGGGUGGCGAGUGGCGGACGGGUGAGGAAUACAUCGGAAUCUACUUUUUCGUGGGGGAUAACGUAGGGAAACUUACGCUAAUACCGCAUACGACCUACGGGUGAAAGCAGGGGAUCUUCGGACCUUGCGCGAUUGAAUGAGCCGAUGUCGGAUUAGCUAGUUGGCGGGGUAAAGGCCCACCAAGGCGACGAUCCGUAGCUGGUCUGAGAGGAUGAUCAGCCACACUGGAACUGAGACACGGUCCAGACUCCUACGGGAGGCAGCAGUGGGGAAUAUUGGACAAUGGGCGCAAGCCUGAUCCAGCCAUACCGCGUGGGUGAAGAAGGCCUUCGGGUUGUAAAGCCCUUUUGUUGGGAAAGAAAAGCAGCAGGUUAAUACCCCGCUGUUCUGACGGUACCCAAAGAAUAAGCACCGGCUAACUUCGUG
rnacentral:rRNA from 1 species